rnacentral:lncRNA from 1 species
GCCAAACAUCUCAACAUCUUUAAAUACAAGAUGAAUUGAAGGAUCAAAGCAAGAGUUUGAAAACCAAAAAUAUUCAUAUUGAGUGAAAUCUUCACUAAACAUAAACUCUUCACAAACAUCAAACUCCAAACUCCAAACCACUGCUCUAUAUCUUUAGAUCAUUAUAAUCAUUUGAGUUUGUUCAUCAGAAUCUCAAACAUGAGUUGAGAAACAUCUUUGAUCCAAAACCCACUCAUCAUACAAAUUUUAUUUUAUUCUUAACUCUAUUCAUUACAAUAGUCUGAGAAAGAAUUAUAGAAGCAUGCUGAUGUUGAUAAUACAGAGUGCUGAGUGUAACAGAUUGAUCUGGUGUGAUCAAGGACAUAUAGUGCUAUUCAAAAGUUUCUGAUAGUUGGAUACCAUAGUGGAUAAUCUCAUACGAAGUGCGAGGACUGGAAGUAGCCACGUGCUUUGGAUGUAUCUGAUAAAUCCCUUGUGUUAUCUUCUUACCCUUACUCUUUUAUUAUUUUCUUUAAACACUACUCACACACUAUCACGAUCAUAAUAUUUGAUAAUAACCUAUCCAAAACAAUCUGGACCUAAUUAAAUAUAACUGUUUAAUAUUUAUAUAGAGCACUCUAGUCUUUAAUUAAUCAUCAACAUUGUUUUAUCAUUCUUCUUCUAAAUCAACCAUAUAAUUGUUAUCCAGAACAUUAUGGUCCUCGAUAAAACAAUUGCUUAAUUACCAAGACAUUCCACACUUAAUUAUAUUGUUUUAUCAUUUUCCAACUAUAUAAUUAUCCAGAACAUUAUGUUCCUUGAUAAAAUAAUUGCAUAAGACAUUCUAAUCUUAUUUAUUUAACCUUCACCAAGAAUUUUCUUGAGUACAUAAACUUGUUAAAUUUCAAGAUUAAAAUUUAAAAUGAAAUUUUUUUUAAGGAAAAAAUAGAUUUUUUUUUUUAAAAACUGAAACAAACACUACAAAAAUAAAAAUAAAAACCAUGUUUUUGGUUAACAAUAUUUUUUUUUUUCAAAAAAAUCCAAAACAAACGGGUCCAUUAUAAAUUAUUCAAUAUUGAAACCAAAUAUUUAGUUAAUAAGUUCAAAGUAAUGUAUGUAGUUUGUUGAGAUAUUUAUGAGAAAUCAAAAUAUUAAUAGUAAUUAUAAUUUAAUAUAAAUAUGACAAACAUUAACGCUUGCAGUUCUACUUUAAAUUUGAUUCGAGUUUGAACACCCCCAGUGGCUUAUGCUUGCAAAGAGGGAAACAUUAAUGCUCCAAAGUGAUGGAAAAGAUCACUAGGAAGAAUAUUGUGCAACAUAUCCAUCUUUCAGAGACCCUGAUUGUUUAUUAUAUCCCCUAUAGAGUAGUAAGCUCAUGAGCUUAACAUCAUCCCUACUUGUCUUUUGUUAUGAUUCAAAUUGGACAUAGAAGUAAUUACACUUGGCAUAAUAUAAUUUGUUGAGGCAAAUAGACAUGUAACUAGUGAUUCUAAGAUCAAGGAAGGUUUGGUUGUGCAUAAAUAGGGGAAAGAUUAUCAAUAAUGGUUAUGAAGAAUAUUGAUGAAGUCACUGCUCUUUACCCUUUGGUACUCGCUAGUUAAUGGCUAGUCUUAUGACUCAUUCUUCUUCUAUCUUUUUCCUUUCUUCUUUUAUGUGCCAAGAACACAACUCUAAUUUGGUUCUCAUAUAUGAAUAAUCAAUUGCAAUUAUCCA